CUGUUGAGUGUUGAGUCAUCAUCAGGAAUUAUAAUUAAUUCCUGAUGAUGACUCAACAGUAGUUGU